rnacentral:rRNA from 1 species
GCAAGUCGAGGGGCAGCAUUGGAGUAGCAAUACUUCAGGAUGGCGACCGGCGCACGGGUGAGUAACACGUAUCCAACCUGCCGCUUACUCGGGGAUAGCCUUUCGAAAGAAAGAUUAAUACCCGAUGGUAUAAAGAGUUCGCAUGUUCUCUUUAUUAAAGAAUUUCGGUAAGCGAUGGAGAUGCGUUCCAUUAGAUAGUUGGCGGGGUAACGGCCCACCAAGUCUACGAUGGAUAGGGGUUCUGAGAGGAAGGUCCCCCACAUUGGAACUGAGACACGGUCCAAACUCCUACGGGAGGCAGCAGUGAGGAAUAUUGGUCAAUGGACGAGAGUCUGAACCAGCCAAAGUAGCGUGAAGGAUGACUGCCCUAUGGGUUGUAAACUUCUUUUAUAAGGGAAUAAAGUGAGGGACGUGUCCCUUUUUGUAUGUACCUUAUGAAUAAGGAUCGGCUAACUCCGUGCCAGCCGCGGC